CUUGGCAUACAAAAAAAAUUUACAAAUAAGGUAGAACGACAGGAAUUUUUCAGCUAAGCUCUCAACUGUUCAGCAAUGAGAGUAUGGAUAGGAU